GUAUGUAUAAAGGAGUACAUAAGAGAGUAUAUAAGGGGAGUAAAUAAGAGUAUGUAUAAGGGAGUACAUAAGAGAGUAUAUAAGGGGAUAAAUAAGAGUAUGUAUAAGGGAGUACAUAAGAGAGUAUAUAAGGGGGUAAAUAGGAGUAUGUAUAAGGGAGUACAUAAGAGAGUAUACAUAUAAGGGGAGUAUGAAUUAAAAACCAAUGGCGAUAUUGAUUGUAAUCAGUCCAUAAACAAAAAAUCUGAUUUGUGGUCACAACAAGUGAUACCUUGGAUUAACAAAUAGACUACUUUUUAUAAACACACCAUACGGGAGAAGCCGCUGGCGGAAGGUAGUUAUAAAAUAAAUA